rnacentral:lncRNA from 12 species
GGCCUAAAUCUUAGGCUGCCAUUUGUGCUCUAUCUUUGACUGCAGCCCUUCUGCUUUGUCCCAACCCUCUCCACAUCCUGUGUGCACCCUCCUUCUGGCUCCCAGUCCUUCCGCUCACCGAGUCUGCAGCUGGCUAAUCUGAGUCCCUCGGCUGGACCCUCAGCACUGUUCAAGAACCUGCCUCCUUUUCGUCCCAAAGUUUAUCUUGGCUGACGUUGACACCUCAUGAGACACUGGUUCGGAAUGCAGAGAAAUCACUCACUUCAGGAAUGCUUGCAGGAAUGCUGAGCAACUCACCAUUGAUCUAUGCCCGACACAGGAUACCGGGUCACAUCCUAAUCCCAGCACACGAGCAGCUCCUCAGCGUGCACAGCAGCCUCAGUGAAUCACCUCAUCAGCUGCAGAGUCAGAGGGAAGCUUCCAAAAGACCACUGAGGAAAUUGGAGGAGGAGAAACUCUGCUCUGAGUUAAGGAAGACCUCCACCAGGGCCACCUCCGCUAUUGGCUCAGGAACUGUGCUGUGAUUACUAGACUGACGACUAAUUAACUCACCGGGUAUCACCUUGUCUCUCCUACUGUGUUAUUUUCUAGGUGGACGGCUAUUUGAGUAUAGUGAAGUAUAGUGAAUAUGCAUCCUUGCUCCUCAGCAGAGAGUGCUGUUGGGUCAGCUGCCUGUGCAGGACCUCAGCUAGGAGGUGCAUGUUCGGGGCCAGAAAAACUUAUUCUGGCAAUCGAUUUAAACUUCAAUUUACAAGAGUGUUUAUAACAUUCCUGGUCAUGGAACAUGAUGUCAUACAGCUACCUUCUCAUUUCUCAUCUGGAAACAGCAGAGUCAAUGCACAGGUGGCCGUAAGAACUCUUUCUUUCCUUCAAUUGCCCGGCCUAUUGGAAUGUUUGUGGAUCUACAAACUCUAAUCACAUUGGUCCAAGUCAUCUGUUUGGUUCCACAGUCCAAAUGGGACUAAUCUCAUAGAGGGAGAGAACCUUCUUCAUAUUCGUCUUCAUAUCUCCAGUUCCAAUCAAGCAUCUGGUGAAUCUGUGCAUACCUCACUUGAAGUGCUCAUUACAGGGUCAGCAGUGACCUCUUCCUCUCUGGUUUGCCCAAGACAUUUACAGUGUUGGCCAGUUUUGUAGUACAGUUAUUAACAAUAAUUCCCUUCUUACUCAAAAGUAUCCCAAUUUCGAUACGUUAUAUGGUCACAUCGUUUAUAUGCCCUUCUCUAUCACUUGGUAAACCUCCUUCAUGGUAAAGUCCAUCCCUUAUCCAUCCUUAUAUCCUCAGGAUUUAGCUCAGCAGCAAACAUAGUGGACGCUCAAUUAAAGUUAAUGGAACCAAUUAGGUAAAGAAAUGAAAUAUCAUAGGUAAUUUUCUACACAAAGAAGAAAAGAACAAUAUCUUCGUGGUCCAGGGAGUUGGCAAGAAACAGACUGGGUGAUUCAGUUUGAGGAGAGCUUAAUAAACAGACUCUGUACAAUGAUGUGGAAAAACA